rnacentral:rRNA from 1 species
GAUGAACGCUGGCGGCGUGCCUAAUACAUGCAAGUCGAGCGAACGGACGAUAAGCUCUUUUCCUUGCUGUUAGCGGCUGACGGGCGAGUAACACGUGGAUAACCUACUUAUAAUACUGGGAUAACUUCGGGAAACCGGAGCUACUACUGGCUCAUAUGUCCUACGGCAUGGUUCAAAAGUGAUAGACGCCUUUGCUGUCACUUAUAGAUGGUUCCGUGCUGCAUUAGCUAGUUGGUAAGGUAACGGCCUACCAAGGCAACGAUGCAUAGCCGACCUGAGAGGGUGAUCGGCCACACUGGAACUGAGACACGGUCCAGACUCCUACGGGAGGCAGCAGUGGGGAAUCUUGCACAAUGGGCGAAAGCCUGACGGAGCCACACCGCGUGAGUGAUGAAGGUCUUCGGAUCGUAAAGCUCUGUUAUUAGGAAAGAAAAUAUGUGUAAGUAACUGUGCACGUCUUGACGGUACCUAAACAGAAAGCCACGGCUAACUACGUG